GACGAACGCUGGCGGCGUGCUUAACACAUGCAAGUCGAGCGGAGCGGCGAACGGGUGAGUAACGCGUGAGUAACUGCCCCCCUCUCUGGGAUAACAGUUGGAAAAGGCUGCUAAUACCGGCUAGUGGGGGAUGACUCGCGUCCUAUCAGCUUGUUGGUGGGGUAGUGGCCUACGAAGGCGAGGACGGGUAGCCGGCCUGAGAGGGCGACCGGGCACAUGGGUCUGAGAUACGGCCCAGACGGCUACGGGGGGCAGCAGUGGGGAAUAUGGCACAACGGGGGAAAGCCUGAUGCAGCAGCGCCGCGUGCGGGAUGACGGCCUUCGGGUUGGAAACCGCUUUCAGCCAUGACGCGGUAGUGGCAGAAGAAGCACCGGCUAACUACGUGCCAGCAGCCGCGGUAAUUC
rnacentral:rRNA from 1 species